GACGAACGCUGGCGGCGUGCUUAACACAUGCAAGUCGAACGGAAAGGCCCUGCUUUUGUGGGGUGCUCGAGUGGCGAACGGGUGAGUAACACGUGAGUAACCUGCCCUUGACUUUGGGAUAACUUCAGGAAACUAGGGCUAAUACCGGAUAGGAGCUCCUGCUGCAUGGUGGGGGUUGGAAAGUUUCGGCGGUUGGGGAUGGACUCGCGGCUUAUCAGCUUGUUGGUGGGGUAGUGGCUUACCAAGGCUUUGACGGGUAGCCGGCCUGAGAGGGUGACCGGCCACAUUGGGACUGAGAUACGGCCCAGACUCCUACGGGAGGCAGCAGUGGGGAAUAUUGCACAAUGGGCGGAAGCCUGAUGCAGCAACUCCGCGUGCGGGAUGACGGCCUUCGGGUUGUAAACCGCUUUCGCCUGUGACGAAGCGUGAGUGACGGUAAUGGGUAAAGAAGCACCGGCUAACUACGUG
rnacentral:rRNA from 1 species